rnacentral:snRNA from 1 species
GGAUAUGAGGGCAACCUGGCCGUGACAUCUGUCACCCCAAUGAUCUCGAAAGUUGACUUGGCUGAUUUAGCUGGGUAGGCGGUUGUCCCUUUCCUCUCUCACCUCUCCAUGUGCGCCCCUUCCACAGCUGCACACUGGGUCGAAGAGGACGACCUUCCUUGGUAGAGUUGAGGACCAUUUUUUGGUUAAGUGUAUAUGAGUCGCUGUGCUCUCCUGCCAGAACUUCCAGACAGGCUCUCAAAAGCUGUUAUUAAAAACUGGGACUUAUUUAUGGCCAUGCCACCCUGAACAAGCCCGAUCCCGUCUGAUCUCGG